UCUUUGGAGACAAGGGUGGUCACCCAUCCUAGACGAGCCCCCAAAUGAAAGACCCCCAGAGUAGGGAGACCCUCACUCAAGUCUCGGGAUGACGCGACACCCCCAAGAACUCACAUAAGACC
rnacentral:pre_miRNA from 14 species